AUUGAACGCUGGCGGCAGGCCUAACACGUGCAAGUCGAACGGUAACAGGAAGAAGCUUGCUUCUUUGCUGACGAGUGGCGGACGGGUGAGUAAUGUCUGGGAAACUGCCUGAUGGAGGGGGAUAACUACUGGAAACGGUAGCUAAUACCGCAUAACGUCGCAAGACCAAAGAGGGGGACCUUCGGGCCUCUUGCCAUCGGAUGUGCCCAGAUGGGAUUAGCUAGUAGGUGGGGUAACGGCUCACCUAGGCGACGAUCCCUAGCUGGUCUGAGAGGAUGACCAGCCACACUGGAACUGAGACACGGUCCAGACUCCUACGGGAGGCAGCAGUGGGGAAUAUUGCACAAUGGGCGCAAGCCUGAUGCAGCCAUGCCGCGUGUAUGAAGAAGGCCUUCGGGUUGUAAAGUACUUUCAGCGGGGAGGAAGGGAGUAAAGUUAAUACCUUUACUCAUUGACGUUACCCGCAGAAGAAGCACCGGCUAACUCCGUG
rnacentral:rRNA from 1 species